UCAAGGAAUAAGAAAGAUGAGCGGAAAAGCUGUCUCCGAAAAACGAUCAUUCAUUUCGGAAGACAGCUUUUUUUUUUUUUUUUUUUGUUGCUAGGCAA
rnacentral:miRNA from 1 species